CAGCUUGCUGGGUGGAUUAGUGGCGAACGGGUGAGUAACACGUGAGCAACCUGCCCCUGACUCUGGGAUAAGCGCUGGAAACGGCGUCUAAUACUGGAUACGAGUAGCGAUCGCAUGGUCAGUUACUGGAAAGAUUUUUUGGUUGGGGAUGGGCUCGCGGCCUAUCAGCUUGUUGGUGAGGUAAUGGCUCACCAAGGCGUCGACGGGUAGCCGGCCUGAGAGGGUGACCGGCCACACUGGGACUGAGACACGGCCCAGACUCCUACGGGAGGCAGCAGUGGGGAAUAUUGCACAAUGGGCGGAAGCCUGAUGCAGCAACGCCGCGUGAGGGAUGACGGCCUUCGGGUUGUAAACCUCUUUUAGCAGGGAAGAAGCGAGAGUGACGGUACCUGCAGAAAAAGCGCCGGCUAACUACGUGCCAGCAGCCGCGGUAAUACGUAGGGCGCAAGCGUUAUCCGGAAUUAUUGGGCGUAAAGAGCUCGUAGGCGGUUUGUCGCGUCUGCUGUGAAAUCCCGAGGCUCAACCUCGGGCCUGCAGUGGGUACGGGCAGACUAGAGUGCGGUAGGGGAGAUUGGAAUUCCUGGUGUAGCGGUGGAAUGCGCAGAUAUCAGGAGGAACACCGAUGGCGAAGGCAGAUCUCUGGGCCGUAACUGACGCUGAGGAGCGAAAGGGUGGGGAGCAAACAGGCUUAGAUACCCUGGUAGUCCACCCCGUAAACGUUGGGAACUAGUUGUGGGGUC
rnacentral:rRNA from 1 species